rnacentral:lncRNA from 1 species
UUAACCUGCGGACCCCCAGGGACUCCUCCAUCUCCACCGUGUUCUCCUCGGGCUGAAGCCCAAAGUCCCCCAUUUUCUCCUCAAACAGCUCUCCGAGCCACUUCUGCAGGCAGGAGGACAGCGCGUGGACUCAGUGUCUGACUUGGGAAGCCACCUCUGAAGGAACUGCUGAGUGACUAUGGUCGUAAGUCAAUCAAAGCAGACUUUCCCUGGCUUGCUGCGCUACAUUGAUUUUGUUUUCGUAUUUUAAAAGAAGCAGAAGGGAGGUUCUAGGAAAUUUGCCCAGUGCAGAUGCUGACAAGAGUGGUGACAUGAAAAAGAUUACCCAGAAGGAAAACAAGAGCUAUUUUCUCAACAUCUGAAAUCUGUGUAGGCUUUUGGAAAAGUGAAACUAGAUGCAAAGCACAAUGAUGUAAUUUUGGCAAUUUCCACUGACACAAAACUCAGCCAAUAUGAAUUAAUCUGAGGGUUACAAGGAAAAUGGCACUCCAAGAAGUACCUAUUAACAUCACUCAGCUGCUGUGAAAUAGGCUUACAGGCAACAUGGAGUGUCAAUUAUCCAGUGUUUAAAGUCAGUGAUACAGAUUGGACUACCAUCUCUAAGGCUCAUAAAGUCUUCUUUAAAGGAUUGACAGAUGGUUUAUCUGAUAUGUAGACAAUGAUUCUCAGCAGUUAACUAGCACAACUUGCUAAUAUCAAUUGCUUGAGAAAAUCAGAUAAUUGCUUGAGAAAAUUAGGACAUUGCUUUGAGGAAGUUACGUAAUUAAAUUAAUUACUUUUUUUAAGAAUAGUUUAAUAUUUUGGCAAGUAGACUUUAAAGUAGAUUGGUAAUAUUUUAAAGGCUACUUUUAAAGAAGUAGCAAUAUAACAUAUUUAAUUAUAAAAAUAAUGUUGGAAACAAUUCAAUUUUCUAUCACAGAUAAUUUCACAAAUAUAGAAAUACCAUCUCAAUAAUUAGAAGAAUUAGCAAUUUCUGUCAUUUUUAUGCAAGUUACUCCUAGUCCAUUUAUUUGGUUUUAAAUAGUGUUUUUAAAAUUUGUUUUCAAACAGGGCUAAUCAUAAAUAAUAGAAUAUAUUUUACAAUAGUUGAAGGUAACAAAAAGUUAAGUGCCAUUUAAAAAAUUGUAUUAGAUUGUUUAAAAAUGUUGUGGGUACAUAGUAUGUGUAUGUAUCUGUGGGGUCCAUGAGAUGUUUUGAUACAGGCAUGCAAUGUGAAAUAAGCACAUCAUGGGGAAUAGGGUAUCCCUCCCCUCAAGCAUUUAUCCUUCAAGUUAUAAAAAAUUCAAUUACAGUCUUAGUUAUUUCAAAAUGUACAAUUAAAUUAUUAUUGAAUAUAGUC